rnacentral:rRNA from 1 species
AGCUCCAAUAGCGUAUAUUAAAGUUGUUGCCGUUAAAAAGCUCGUAGUCGAACUUCGGCGCCUGAUGGCCGGUCCGCCUUCUUGGUGUGUACUUGCUCAUCGGGCGCUUACCUCCUGGUGAACUCUGAUGUCCUUUAUUGGGUGUCAGAGCAAACCAGGACGUUUACUUUGAAAAAAUUAGAGUGUUCAAAGCAGGCCUACGCCCGAAUACAUUAGCAUGGAAUAAUAGAAUAGGACGCGCGUUCCCAUUUUGUUGGUUUCUGAGAUCGCCGUAAUGAUUAAUAGGGAUAGUUGGGGGCAUUUGUAUUCCGUCGUCAGAGGUGAAAUUCUUGGAUUGCCGGAAGACAAACUACUGCGAAAGCAUUUGCCAAGGAUGUUUUCAUUG